AGUAGCGGCGAGCGAAGCGGGAAGAGCUCAAAUUUGUAAUCUGGCACCUUCGGUGUCCGAGUUGUAAUCUCUAGAAGUGUUUUCCGCGUUGGACCGCACACAAGUCUGUUGGAAUACAGCGGCAUAGUGGUGAUACCCCAUUACACGGUGCGGACGCCCAGCGCUUUGUGAUACACUUUCGACGAGUCGAGUUGUUUGGGAAUGCAGCUCAAAUUGGGUGGUAAAUUCCAUCUAAAGCUAAAUAUUGGCGAGAGACCGAUAGCGAACAAGUACCGUGAGGGAAAGAUGAAAAGCACUUUGGAAAGAGAGUUAAAAGUACGUGAAAUUGUUGGAAGGGAAACGCUUGAAGUCAGACUUGCUUGCCGGGCUUGCUCGGUUUGCAGGCCAGCAUCAGUUUUCCGGGGCGGAUAAUGGCAGUUAGAAGGUAGCAGUCUCGGCUGUGUUAUAGCUUUCUGCUGGAUACGUCCUGGGGGACUGAGGAACGCAGCGUGCCGUAUGGCGAGGGCUUCGGCCCU
rnacentral:rRNA from 1 species